rnacentral:rRNA from 1 species
AGUGAACGCUGGCGGUAGGCCUAACACAUGCAAGUCGAACGGCAGCACAGUAAGAGCUUGCUCUUACGGGUGGCGAGUGGCGGACGGGUGAGGAAUACAUCGGAAUCUACUUUUUCGUGGGGGAUAACGUAGGGAAACUUACGCUAAUACCGCAUACGACCUACGGGUGAAAGCAGGGGAUCUUCGGACCUUGCGCGAUUGAAUGAGCCGAUGUCGGAUUAGCUAGUUGGCGGGGUAAAGGCCCACCAAGGCGACGAUCCGUAGCUGGUCUGAGAGGAUGAGGAGCCAAACUGGAAAUGAGACAAGGGACGGACUAAUAAGGGAGGCAGCAGGGGGGAAGAGGGGACAAUGGGCGCAAGUCGGAUCCAGCCAGACAGCGGGGGGGAAGAAGGCAGUCGGGUUGUAAAGCCCUUUUGUUGGGAAAGAAAAGCAGCAGGUUAAUACCCCGCUGUUCUGACGGUAACAAAAGAAUAAGAACCGGAUAACUUCGUG